rnacentral:rRNA from 1 species
AUUGAACGCUGGCGGCAGGCCUAACACAUGCCAGUCGAACGGUAACAGGAAGAAGCUUGCUUCUUUGCUGACGAGUGGCGGACGGGUGAGUAAUGUCUGGGAAACUGCCUGAUGGAGGGGGAUAACUACUGGAAACGGUAGCUAAUACCGCAUAACGUCGCAAGACCAAAGAGGGGGACCUUCGGGCCUCUUGCCAUCGGAUGUGCCCAGAUGGGAUUAGCUAGUAGGUGGGGUAACGGCUCACCUAGGCGACGAUCCCUAGCUGGUCUGAGAGGAUGACCAGCCACACUGGAACUGAGACACGGUCCAGACUCCUACGGGAGGCAGCAGUGGGGAAUAUUGCACAAUGGGCGCAAGCCUGAUGCAGCCAUGCCGCGUGUAUGAAGAAGGCCUUCGGGUUGUAAAGUACUUUCAGCGGGGAGGAAGGGGGUAAAGUUAAUACCUUUGCUCAUUGACGUUACCCGCAGAAGAAGCACCGGCUAACUCCGUG